CAUAAGCAGUAUUUCAAAAUAACUUAUAUUUUCUAAACAAUAAUAUAACUUGUAUUAGAGAUUCUUCUGAGUUAUUGCAAAUGAAAUUCGAGGAUUCCUAAAACAUGCAUGAAAGAAUCAAAUCAACACUCUGGUGGAGCACCCGGUUCAGCUGCUGCCUGGAAGACACGUUGUCCGGAGUUACGAAGCGACCCUGCAGACGACACCACUGCACAGCUUUUGUAUGGCCCGAGGUCAGAGGUCAGCUGUUGUGAGGGUAGCAGCA